UGGGGAAUUUUGGACAAUGGGCGCAAGCCUGAUCCAGCCAUGCCGCGUGUCUGAAGAAGGCCUUCGGGUUGUAAAGGACUUUUGUCCGGGAGCAAAUGCCUGGUGUUAAUAGCACUGGGAGCUGAGAGUACCGGAAGAAUAAGCACCGGCUAACUACGUGCCAGCAGCCGCGGUAAUACGUAGGGUGCGAGCGUUAAUCGGAAUUACUGGGCGUAAAGCGUGCGCAGGCGGUUUUGUAAGCCAGAUGUGAAAGCCCCGGGCUCAACCUGGGAACUGCGUUUGGAACUACAAGACUAGAGUGUGUCAGAGGGGGGUGGAAUUCCGCGUGUAGCAGUGAAAUGCGAAGAGAUGCGGAGGAACACCGAUGGCGAAGGCAGCCCCCUGGGAUAACACUGACGCUCAUGCACGAAAGCGUGGGGAGCAAACAGGAUUAGAUACCCUGGUAGUCCACGCCCUAAACGAUGUCAAUUAGCUGUUGGGGGUUAGAAUCCUUGGUAGCGUAGCUAACGCGUGAAAUUGACCGCCUGGGGAGUACGGCCGCAAGGUUA
rnacentral:rRNA from 1 species